GACGAACCGUCCAAACGUUAUUCGGAAUCACUGGGCUUAUAGAGUUCGUAGGCGGUCCCAAAAGUUAGGUGUGAAAUCCCUCGGCUCAACCGAGGAACUGCGCUUAAAACUGUGGGACUCGAGGGAGAUAGAGGAAAGCGGAACUGAUGGUGGAGCGGUGAAAUGCGUUGAUAUCAUCAGGAGCACCGGUGGCGAAGGCGGCUUUCUGGGUCUUACCUGACGCUGAGGAACGAAAGCUAGGGGAGCGAACGGG
rnacentral:rRNA from 1 species